rnacentral:rRNA from 1 species
GACGAACGCUGGCGGCGUGCCUAAUACAUGCAAGUAGAACGCUGAAGGAGGAGUUUGCCCUUCUGGAUGAGUCGCGCACGGGUGAGUAACGCGUAGGUAACCUGCCUGGUAGCGGGGGAUAACUAUUGGAAACGAUAGCUAAUACCGCAUAACAGUAGAUGUUGCAUGACAUUUGCUUAAAAGGUGCAAUUGCACCACUACCAGAUGGACCUGCGUUGUAUUAGCUAGUUGGGGGGGUAACGGCUCACCAAGGCGACGAUUCAGAGCCGACCUGAGAGGGGUGUCGGCCAAACUGGGACUGAGACACGGCCCAGACUCCCACGGGAGGGAGCAGGAGGGAAUCUUCGGCAAUGGACGGAAGUCUGGCCGAGCAACGCCGCGUGAGUGGAGAAGGUUUUCGGAACGUAAAGCUCUGUUGUAAGGGGAGAACGAGUGGGAGGGUGGAAACUUCACACUGUGACGGUAUCUUACCAGAAAGGGACGGCUAACUACGUG